rnacentral:rRNA from 1 species
AUUGAACGCUGGCGGCAGGCCUAACACAUGCAAGUCGAGCGAGCGGCGGACGGGUGAGUAAUGUAUGGGGACUGCCCGAUAGAGGGGGAUAACUACUGGAAACGGUGGCUAAUACCGCAUACUAUCGGAUAACCCAUAUGGGAUUAGCUAGUAGUUGGGGUAAAGGCUCACCUAGGCGACGAUCUCUCGCUGGUCUGAGAGGAUGAUCAGACACACUGGGACGGAGACACGGCCCAGACUCCUACGGAGGCAGCAGUGGGGAAUAUUGCACAAUGGGCGCAAGCCUGAUGCAGCCAUGCCGCGUGAAGGAAGAAGGCCUUAGGGUUGGAAAGUACUUUCAGCGGGGAGGCGUUACCCGAAGAAGAAGCACCGGCUAACUCCGUGCCAGCAGCCGAGGUAAUUC